CUUACUAGAAAUUCCGAUAUCAGGAUGGACCUGUUUGAGAACCUUGAAAAUGUAGAUCUUGUACGUCUCGAUGCUCUUCGACUUCUUCUUCUUCUUCUUAUCGGUCGAUGCAGCGCCGCCUUCUUUCGGAAGACGCUUCUCGGCUUUCGGCUUCUUCUCGGCGAUGGAUUUCUCCGCAGGUUUCUUCUCGGCAGGCUUCUUCUCGGCCUUCGGUGCCAUCGUUAGUUAACAACGGGAGAAGGAAAAAAACAAGAAUUUAGUAACAGAUGGAAA
rnacentral:lncRNA from 1 species